rnacentral:rRNA from 1 species
AUUGAACGCUGGCGGCAUGCUUUACACAUGCAAGUCGAACGGUAACAGGGUGCUUGCACCGCUGACGAGUGGCGAACGGGUGAGUAAUGCGUCGGAACGUGCCGAGUAGUGGGGGAUAACGCAGCGAAAGUUGUGCCAAUACCGCAUACGUACUGAGGUAGAAAGUGGGGGACCUUCGGGCCUCACGCUAUUCGAGCGCCCGACGUCUGAUUAGCUAGUAGGUGAGGUAAAGGCUCACCUAGGCGACGAUCAGUAGCAGGUCUGAGAGGAUGAUCCGCCACACUGGGACUGAGACACGGCCCAGACUCCUACGGGAGGCAGCAGUGGGGAAUUUUGGACAAUGGGCGAAAGCCUGAUCCAGCCAUGCCGCGUGUCUGAGGAAGGCCUUCGGGUUGUAAAGGACUUUUGUCGGGGAGGAAAUCCCCAGCGUUAAUACCGCUGGGGGAUGACAGUACCUGAAGAAUAAACACCGGCUAACUACGUGCCAGCCGCCGCGGUAAUAC